AUUGAACGCUGGCGGCAGGCUUAACACAUGCAAGUCGAACGAGUGGCGGACGGGUGAGUAAUGCUUGGGAAUCUGGCUUAUGGAGGGGGAUAACUACGGGAAACGGUCGCUAAUACCGCGUACCAUAGGAUGAACCCAAGUGGGAUUAGGUAGUUGGUGGGGUAAUGGCCUACCAAGCCGACGAUCUCUAGCUGGUCUGAGGGGAUGACCGGACGAUCCGGGACUAGGGGAAGGCGCGAACUCCUACGGUAGGCAGCGGUGGGGAAUAUUGCGAUAUGGGGGCAGCCCUGAAGGAGGCAUGCCGCGUGGAUGCGUGGGGGAUUAGGGUUGUAGGGUUCUAAAGGUGACGAGGCGUUAGGCACAGAAGAAGCACCGGCUAACUCCGUGCCAGCAGCCGCGGUAAUUC
rnacentral:rRNA from 1 species